GCUGCCUCCAGUCUGCCUGAAAACCCUGUAUGACUGACUCCCUCCGCCUCUCUCCUCUGGGGCCAGCACCUCACUGAUCUCAGGGGAUGACUGUCUGGAUGGAUGGAUCUGUAUUCAUUUGACUUCCUUCGUCUUACUUCUUUACAAAGAGGAGUCACCUAUUACAAAGCACCUGCAGGUCUACAGGAAGCAUUUGAAGCAUGCCCCAUUGACCAAUGGCAGCAAAAAGAUUGUCUCUGCAAAUCAACUAAAUGUCAACCACUCUACUAGCAUACAGUUUCGGAAGAGGCACAAACCCAAUUUUUCACCCUACCAAAGCGACAAGAUUUUUGUUCUCUCAGCUCAGAGCAGCCAGCUUCCACCUAAGUGCUGGGAGCCAUGUGAGCACAUCAGGUUCUCAGGGCUCCAUUAGCUAAGCAUCAACCCACCCCUUUUGCAUGCCAGUGGCAUUGAUUUCACUUCAUCACAGAACCUUCUUGUGAUGGACUUCAGCUUCAGCCCAUGCUGGCAUGGUUGACAUGCAGAGGAAGGCAUGUGCCAGCUUUCAUGUGGGCUGGUUGCUGUGCUAGCUUUUCCAUUUAGAUGUACCUCUAGACUCUGCUGUGAGAUCCAGUGCUGGAAACAAAUGGCAGAGAUCACAGGUCUCCUGUGCCUUAGUUCCUGCUUCCAACAAGAUGAUAUGAAGUGACUCAGUAUCUUCCAAGCAAAAAGAGGACAUUGCUAAAAACUUACAAUCCCAUAGGAUACACCAGAAAACCUCAGCACCUUGAAAGCACUUUUAAAGAGCUGGGGCCAGCUGUGCACUGCUGUGUUAUCUGCUUCCAUCGGGUAUGGGAGCAGUUUUGGGCAUGGAUUGUUGUGAAGUUAGGUAAGAUAACGAAAUGAGAGAGAAUCAUGAAAAAGACUAAAGGAAAAAGACUACAGAAAUUACUUCAAAUAUUUCAGUCAUGAGCUUGUAUGUAUGUAUUGUGCCCCAGCCUCCUUUUACUUAUUAGUAAUAACUACUCAGCAACUCCUAACUUUGGGAAUAGGGAAUAGUUUGAUUACGUGCAUGUAAAAUCUCCAGCAUUCUGUGCAUGCUAUAUAAAUAAUACAUAGUUUUACUAAUGAAUGACAUGCUGAUACGAUUCACAAUUCCACAAUUGUCAUUUUCAUCCUAGCCAAACAGGCAGAUAGAAACCACAUCGGUACUAAAUGAAAAACACCAUAAAAAGAAAAGAAAAAAAAAUGAACAAAGAACAGAAGAAACAAAAGCAUCCUCUUUCCUAACUUAUCUGAAUUUCUUACCCACCAGCAAUGAGAACUUCUGUUUUAGGUUCAAAGUUAGAAUGUGAAAUGAGUGGAACCAAGACCUAAACAUGAAGAACUGAAAAAUUAAGGGGUCCCCAAGAGUUGUUUCAUCAAGAUACAGGACAGAAAUACUAGAAUAAAAUGGAAUAGUUAAAUUGGAAGGGACCUGCA
rnacentral:lncRNA from 1 species